AGUCUCUGCUCUAACACCUUGUGCCUGCAGCUGGCAGCUUUGGUCAGCGCUGGAAGUCUUUCUGCAGCUCAGGAGAAUAUCUGGAAAGAAUAAAUUAACUGUGGUGGUGUGUGGAGCUGCUUGGAAUAAUGUUUUUUUCAGAGAUAGGCUUUGAUUGACACUUCAGAUCUGCCUGACAAUCUUUUAUUCUAAGUGCAGUUGCUGCCUUUCUUCAGAGCAAGAAGAGCUGGUUUGGUUGCUGUCCUUCAAAUGAUGGAUCUUAUCACGUGGGAAAAAGAAAAAAAGCAAACCACCUGCAAACAGCCACAGGUGUGGACAAGACCAAGGACUGAAGCUGAAGGGUGUGCAAGCUCCCAUCUGCGUGCCAGCCUGGGCGUACUGUAAGGUGGAGACAUCUGCAACUUCAUGCGCUGCACCAUGGAUGGGCUUUCUUCUUGUCAGGAGUGUUUGCCUUUGGGAUCCUCCUAUUGUUGGGGCACCACCGAGAGGAUUACUGUUUGCUCUUUGCUUCUGCAUUCACCUCUAGUCGCAGAUGCAGCCAGGCCUUCCCAACCAGCUGCUUUUCCUGAGCUGCAGGAGCAGAAGACAAGCCCAGGCAGGGCCAUCUGCAGCAGCUGCUGUGCUCCAGCAGGGCAGUCAGGCUGAGGCAUGCUGCAGUGCUGCUCCUCUCCUCUACCCACCUCGUGGAUGCAUCAAGCGCUUCUGUUUACACGGCCAUCAGUCUGGCAGCUUUCCUCAACACUAAAUUUACUUUUUGAAGUUACAUCAGUGUUGUACCCAGAGGGAAUGGAGGAACAGAUGCAGCCUGUGAAGUCUGGCUUUAAUUCACCUGCCUCAUUUAAUUUCCUGCCCUGCCUUCUAAUCAAUGAGUCUGCACUGGCAGCCCUGGGAAUACAGAGGUUUUCUCACAUACAGGAGACCUCUCACCUACAGGAGAUCUCAGGGUCUCCAGCAGGCCAUGUCCCGUCUCCUUCGAGGCUCUCUGUGCCCCAGAAGCACUGCACACACACAGUGGCUGCAUCGCAUUUCCUCCAUGGGGCCACUGGUGGUCCUUCACCAGGAGAGCAGCAUUACACCACCUCAGAGCUGUGUGCCCCAGAUACUUGGGACUGCCAGGAAACGUGGAAGAAAGGGGCUGGGGCAUUGCUGCUUUGCUGAGCAGGCUCCCACUGUCCUGUUCCUUUUUUUUUUCCUUGAGCUCAUGUUUAUUCCAGGCAGCACUGCCCAGUUGCUUAAUCAGCCAAUGUCAAAACCCUGCAAGAGAAGAAGGCUGCCCUUGGCUGGCAGCAGUUAUUUUGUGACGUGUCUGCUUCACCUCAUGUAUUAUAAUCUGUAUCAGAUUGCUCUUUGCUUGCUAAAAUGGACAAUUAGGAUCCGGUUGUAAUGCAAAUUGCACAGUGGAAUAAAAACCAUGGGGAACAAAAUCACAAAUAAGUAUUUAUGUCAGCCUUUGUUACUGCGUGAUGGGUCCUGCUCAGUUACUGCUCACUGCGAAGCAUUAGACAGAAGAGAACCCGGUGUGCCUUUGUGUUUUAUAGGCACGAGCUGCUCUGUGUAAGACUGCCUGUAGGCACUCGCAGGCCCCGAUAAUGUGUAUGUGUGCAAACCUAACAGACAGAUUGCCGCCUACACUGGAAAUUUGAUGAUUGCCUUGUUUUUUCCACGGCUCUGUUUUCUAUACUGCAGGCCAAACCCAUGGGGUAAUUUCCAGUCUCUCUGCACAGGGCUGAGAUGACGUGGUGAGAGAAGUGGAGAGAUGCUGAAAUUUCAAUCUGCCACAUAAUGCGCCCCUAAUGCUGAUGUCCUUAUAAGCGUGUUGUUGACAUUGGUGCUGUUGCUGUAGUUCUUGUCAUGGCUGUCUUCCCUAUGUCUGGUGUGAAGC
rnacentral:lncRNA from 7 species